GGACGGGUGAUGUGUUCUACCCCCUUCACUAUCAUAUACCAUGUAUGCACUUCCUGGAGGAAAGGUGGGAUUGGAGCCAGGUCCUGUGUACCUAUCAGUCGGUUGUGCUCCAAAAGUGCCUUUGAUUUGUUGAGGAGGUUGUUGGGGAGCUGUUCUGCCAGGUACUCCGUACCCAUAAGUAAUGGUAUCAGCACGGCUAGACACGGGUUGAGGAAGUCCAGAAUAUGAGACCUGCAUGGCCAUGCUGUUUGGCAACGCCUCUGGUUGAGAUUGAGUUGUUGAU
rnacentral:lncRNA from 1 species